rnacentral:lncRNA from 1 species
UACAAAGGCCCAAAUUUCCUCCACAAACUGAUCCGAUUUGAGCGAUUGGACAGAAACGCAAAGAACGGCAGCAGCAGCAAACGCCAACUAAGCUGAUGAAAUUGGGCGGCUCCUCUAAAUGUGGGCUGGCCAGUAGUUAAUCGCAAUUUUGUUUGAUUGACAGCAUAGUUUAGCGCUGUAACCAAUCGGAGUUAAGCGCGGGGGGAAAGGUGGCCCUUCACAUAUAGUUUGUCGGACUGGAACGCUGCAGCGGCUGGGGCCACGGGGUUUCCUCCAAUUAGAGCAAGGGAUGAAGACGUCAUCUCAUUGCCAUGGUAAUCUUCAUCCAAUCAGUGCCUAGUUUAACACGAUGGCGGUGGGUGUGGCUCGUACUCCGUUGUAAGUCGCGUAAACUAGUUCCUACUGUGUAGCUAUGUCUGCUGUGUGUAUGGCAUCAAAAUGACCUCUGCGCAUUCAAGGAGGGUUCACUUUCCACUCCGGAAUGUCCCUAACCCCCCAAACACCUGAAAUUCUACCUGGAUCUGUUUGCUUUCAGGAGAUCAGUCAUGGACCUAUGUGUUCGAACCAGAAACCUGCCACUGUAACCACUAUUCUUUUGCUUUGAAGGAAUAAUCUUAAAUAAUAAAAUGAUGAAAAUGUUCA